rnacentral:rRNA from 1 species
AUUGAACGCUGGCGGCGUGCUUAACACAUGCAAGUCGAUCGGUAACGCGGGGGCAACCCUGGCGACGAGAGGCGGACGGGUGAGGAACGCUUGGGAAUCUGCCCUUCAGCGGGGGACAACACGGGGAAACUCGUGCUAAUACCGCAUACGCUCCACGGAGGAAAGCCGGGGACCGCAAGUCCUGGCACUGAAGGAGGAGCCCAAGUCGGAUUAGCUAGUUGGCGGGGUAACGGCCCACCAAGGCGACGCUCCGUAGCUGGUCUGAGAGGACGAUCAGCCACACUGGGACUGAGACACGGCCCAGACUCCUACGGGAGGCAGCAGUGGGGAAUAUUGGACAAUGGGGGAAACCCUGAUCCAGCGACGCCGCGUGGGUGAAGAAGGCCUGCGGGUUGUAAAGCCCUUUCAUGAGGGAAGAGGAGAGUGUCACUAACAUUGACGCGAUUUGACGGUACCUCAAGAGGAAGCCACGGCUAACUCUGUGCCAGCCGCCGCGGUAAGAC